UCGAUGUAUGGCUUGUGUGGGACGAGAGACACAACGUGGAACCGUAAUAGGAUCUGCAAGGGUUUCUCAAACCAUCCAAAUCAUACAUCGGUUGUAAGAGCAUUCCAACCAAAAUUGUUGUAUGGCUAGGAUGUGGGCGAGAGGCACAACGUGAAUCCGUAAUAGGCCAUGGCGGGUGUCUUUUUAAGCAACCAAACCAUACAACAAUUGGGGUGGGUUCUUGUGGCGGGUUUCGUUCUCUUCGUAUCGUGC
rnacentral:misc_RNA from 1 species